rnacentral:rRNA from 1 species
UACGUAGGGCGCAAGCGUUAUCCGGAAUUAUUGGGCGUAAAGAGCUCGUAGGCGGUUUGUCGCGUCUGCUGUGAAAACUGGGAGGCUCAACCUCCAGCCUGCAGUGGGUACGGGCAGACUAGAGUGCGGUAGGGGAGAUUGGAAUUCCUGGUGUAGCGGUGGAAUGCGCAGAUAUCAGGAGGAACACCGAUGGCGAAGGCAGAUCUCUGGGCCGUAACUGACGCUGAGGAGCGAAAGCAUGGGGAGCGAACAGG